UAUUCCUGGGCCGGCUACCAGAAAGAACUAGGGGUGGUGGGUCCAGUUUAUAAGUAAAUGGGGCAAAAGACAAACCCGUGCCCACCAGAUCUCAGGUCCAUCUUGCCCCCACUUCGCUGCUCAAUAGAACAAAUAAAGCAAUCAGAAGCAGCUCUCCCAACAAAGACUCUGGGUACACAGGGGUAUCAGUAUCUCCUUUGGCUUAAAAGAGCAGACUCAGACAGCUUUUCCCAAAGCAUGGGUCUCAUCUCACCAUCUCACCAAGGGGGCAUUUACUGUGGUGUAUUGCAUGACCAUGAGAAAGGGAUUUCUUUUUCAGUUCUCUUUCCAGGAGAAAGCUUUGUCUCAGUGUUUAAGCGUCAACACCUCUCCCCCUUAACUACUCUCUAUGCAGGAAAAAUGGAGCCAAUCCCAGGCUCACAGUCUUGGUUGGCCAGAGUGCCUAGGUAGAAUUUAAUCACUUGUUUUGUUUCUGUAUUACGUGCAUUUACAGUAUGGAGAUGUAUGGAAGUGCUACUUGCCCACAAGUACUAUUAGUGGUAGCAAUACAAAGUAUCCUUUGAAAUUUAAGUUUCAAAAAGUGAAUCGACUUAAAGGAAACUAAUAAGUAAACAAUAGUACAGUAGGUGCACAGAUAGGGCAAAAUCAUAAAAGCACGGUUUGUGGAUGGAAUUUGGGGACCCUCAAGUUGAGGGAGACUGACAGAGAAGGCAGUAGUUGGAAUGCAAAUCCUGUUCUCCAUUUGGAGUCUGAAGCUGUCCAGGGAUUUAGCAACUCUCUUCCUCUUCUUCUCCCACUCCAUCCCCAGGAGUACCCGCUGGCAGCUCUUGCAGGCACCGCCUGCCACUGUGGAUUUCCCACCACCCGAUUCCCACUCCAUGACAGAGAGGAUGAGCAGCUCUGUGCCCAGAAGUGCAGCGCGGAGGAGUUUGAGAGCUGUGGAACUCCUAGUUACUUCAUUGUGUACCAGACACAAGUCCAAGACAACCGUUGCAUGGACAGAAGGUUCCUGCCGGGCAAGUCCAAGCAACUCAUUGCUUUGGCCAGCUUUCCAGGGGCCGGCAACACAUGGGCUCGCCACCUCAUUGAGCUGGCCACGGGCUUCUACACUGGCAGCUACUACUUCGAUGGCUCCCUCUACAACAAAGGGUUUAAAGGUGAGCGGGACCACUGGCGCAGCGGACGGACCAUUUGCAUCAAGACGCACGAAAGCGGCCAGAAAGAGAUCGAGGCUUUCGACGCCGCCAUCCUGCUCAUCCGCAACCCCUACAAGGCCCUCAUGGCUGAGUUCAACCGCAAGUACGGCGGCCACAUAGGCUUUGCUGCGCAUGCCCACUGGAAGGGCAAAGAGUGGCCAGAGUUCGUGAGGAACUAUGCCCCAUGGUGGGCCACUCACACACUGGACUGGCUCAAGUUCGGCAAGAAAGUGCUGGUGGUUCACUUUGAGGACCUGAAGCAGGACCUCUUCAUCCAGCUGGGCCGGAUGGUCAACCUGCUGGGCGUGGCUGUCAGGGAGGACCGGUUGCUCUGUGUGGAGAGCCAGAAGGAUGGUAACUUCAAGCGCUCGGGGCUCCGGAAGCUCGAAUAUGACCCGUAUACUGCAGACAUGCAGAAGACCAUCUCUGCCUAUAUCAAGAUGGUGGACGCGGCCCUCAAAGGGCGGAACCUCACGGGUGUCCCCGAUGACUACUACCCAAGAUGA
ensembl:lincRNA